AUCUAAAAAGAAAGACAUAAAAAAAACUAGAUUAAGGACAAAUAGAGAAAGGUCUAGAAAAUGUCGACCCCAUCGUCUUCCUCCAUCUACAUCCUCAGGAGACUUCUACCUUAGCUUUAAAUCAUUCAUUUUUGCUGAACCAUUUUUGAUGAUCUUGAGUGAAUUCCACAUAGAUACUUAACCUCUAACAAAUGACAUGGAAUUGACAUCGGUGAUGAUUUCUUUAGCUCAAGACGUAGGUUUUAGAUUCGAACCAAAAAACUUGAAACAUCGGGGUAAAAACUGCAUCUCAAAUCGGUGAAUCAGUCAAAUUCCACCAAACCCCCAUGGCUCCUUCCUUCUACACAGAAUGAGUUCGAAGAACUAAUACCAGCGUGAAGAGAUCCUUCUCUAAUAGGCUACUCAUGGGAGGGGAUUUCUAGCCACCUGGGACUGCAACCUCCUUGGUUUCUUACCCUGUAUCUCUUUUAAUUUGCCAAACCUGGUGUUGUACAUAAUCAGGUGGAAACCUCCCCUCCCCCGCUGUAAUAACUUAAAGUGGUUGUUGAUCCAUCCUAUUUGCCAUCUCCUUUGAAAUAGCUUAACAAUCAAGAGCAUCGGAUUUAUGCUCCUGAUCAACAAUAGUAGCUGCUUUCUGAUGCUCUUUAUUCUCUUUCUUACAAAAGGACUUUGAUAUCCACUCUUUUGUAGAUAUUUGUUGCUCAUUGCUCUCAUUUCUGCUUCCCAUCUUAAUAGUACUUUCCUUCUCAUUCCUUUCUACAUUUGUGAUUAUUGUAUUUGUCUUUCUCAGUUUUCUCACUUUCUCUUGUAACUACUAUACAACUUUGUUGUAGAAUUUCCUUGUCAUUAUUGUGAUAUGCUAAUACAUCAAAGGUAUUAGCCAUAGUAAUCCUUUCCUUCCCUCCAGCAACUUUGUUCGCACUCCCAAUUUGCCCAUUCUUAUUCACAGGGAACCUCCUACUAGUAGGAUUCCAUCUUUUGAAUUGAUUUUCCAUUCUAACUACAGGGUUUGCAUUAGAUUUAUCUUUCUCUCCUUCUUCUAUUUGCUUCCCUUUCCCAUCGACCUCCAUAUUAAUCCUUAGUUCUGGAUGUAACACUCUACAUUCUCAUUUAUCAUGACCUUGAAGGUUACAUUCUUUACAAAAUUUAGGAACCAUAUCAUUUGCACCUUCACUUUCUCAACUCUAGAGGUUCCUUCCUUCUCAUUUACACUUCUAAUUCUACAAAUUUAGAGAAAUCAGCCAGUAAAUACACCUGCACUUUUACCCUAGCACAACUAGGUCUAGUCUUGUUGAUCGUGGCUAAGUCUAGGUGCAAAUGUUUUCCAAUUGCAUAGGCUACUGAAAAUAUGGAUUCUUGAACAAAAUACAUAGGUUUCAAAUCCAAAAAAGAAAUCCAUGCCAUAGCUUGAAUAGUCUCCUCCUCUAUAUUAAACUUUUCAUCAUAUAUCAACAGCCUGAUCAGAUAUGAAAUCCAUCUUUAGUAAGAAUAUAGUAGCUUGGUUUUGACAUUACAUUAAUAAAAUCUUCUUGAAGAUUAAAUCUCAUUAAUAUAUGUCUAUUCCUCAAUAAACUAAUCUUACAAUCACCUUUUACAUUACAUUGCUUGGGUAUUUGAGUCCGAAGGUCAUCUAAUUCCGUCCAUCCAUAUGAGAAUUUACCAACCACCACAUAUUGUAAAUUCUUGAUGGUAUUCAUUCGAUCAACUUCUUUUUCUAUCCAUGUAACUCUGGGAAUUCCAUUGUUAUAUCAUAUCUUCUUUAUUGAAUGGGUUCAACAAGAGGCAUAGCAAGGAUUGGUGAUUUAUUUUCCUGAACAAUGUUUGCAUAUUGUUCCAUGACUUGUGAAUUACCAGUAUUAACGUUAGGCAAUUCAUUAGAACAUGAGGACAAAUUAGGCUUGAUGAGAGAGUUGGAACUAGUAGGCUUGUUAGGGUGACCAAGAAGAGGAAAUUAUGAGAGGUUUCUCUAGUCAAUCACAGAAAGUGGCUAACAGUGUCCGAUCCGGCCAUAAGUGGUGGUGAUGAUCAAAA